rnacentral:rRNA from 1 species
GACGAACGCUGGCGGCGUGCCUAACACAUGCAAGUCGAACGGAGAUACGAUUUCGGUUGUAUCUUAGUGGCGAACGGGUGAGUAACGCGUGAACAACCUGACUCUUAGAGGGGGAUAACACUCGGAAACGGGUGCUAAUACCGCAUAAGACCACGACCCGGCAUCGGGAUGAGGUCAAAGGAGCAAUCCGCUGAGAGAGGGGUUCGCGUCCCAUUAGAUAGAUGGCGGGGUAACGGCCCACCAUGUCAACGAUGGGUAGCCGAGCUGAGAGGCUGAUCGGCCACACUGGAACUGAGACACGGUCCAGACUCCUACGGGAGGCAGCAGUGGGGAAUAUUGGGCAAUGGGCGCAAGCCUGACCCAGCAACGCCGCGUGAGGGAAGAAGGCUUUCGGGUUGUAAACCUCUGUCCUUGGUGACGAAACAAAGGACGGUAGCCAAGGAGGAAGCCCCGGCUAACUACGUGCCAGCCGCCGCGGUAAUAC